CUAGAUAGCAGGCUGAAGUCUCGUUCCUUAUCAGAAUUAACCAGACAGAUCGCUCCACCAACUAACAACAGCCAUGCACCACCACCCAUAGAACUGAGAAAGAGCUGUCAAUCUGUCUGCUAAUCCUGUCCAUGUACAGGCUGGUUGAGGUUUACCGUGAGGUUUCCAGGUGAGGCCUACAGGC